GAAGAGCACUCGCUUCGUCUUUCCAACAAGACGCGUAGGUUCGGCGCUCCGAUUUGCAUUUAAGCUGUCAUCUUCUCGGAAGCAGGCGCUCAUGCUUGGAGACCUGCAGAGCACGAACUGCAGCAUGUAUGCCGAAAUAAACAGCUAUUGCCUAUUUAAAAUAGAACCGAUGUAAGGCAAGGCCCCUUUUUUGCUGUACUGUGCUUGCGAAUUGCAAAGCAAUGAUAAGACACAAUGUAGAAAGAAACAUUUUCUUUUAUUUGGCGGACAUUAGAGUGGCAUCAAAAAAAAAAACUAUUGAGCAGCCCCAAGUCAGUCACUACACUAAGUAGCUCCACUGCAAUUCACAUGACCUAGGAAUCCCAGCCAUACAACCAAAUGAUUAUUCGUAUAAGUGACGAUCAAGAUCAUUCUUCACUUGAAUGCCACGGAGCGCUGUUCAGUAACAGCAGUCAGUUUGUGUCCCUGCAAGCAGGAAUAUUAAUUCGUGUUUUGGUUAUUGGUGACAUAACGAAAUUUAUAGUUUUCUGGCCCAUCAGAUGUCUGAAUCAGAAAUAACUUCUCCAAAGAUGUACACCUUCUCACCGGUACAUGCAGGAUGAUUUGCGGUGGCCAGAGACUUUUGAGCGGGACUUCGGUAUCAAUGGAGGUAUAAUGUGUGUGCAUGCUUCAGUACAAGGGAGAUUGGAGGCAGCAUCAAGGCAACCUAUAGGCACUGUGUGAAAAAUCUUGAAAGCUAUGCUAUUUGCUAAUGCUCUUCUGCCCUCUGCACUUGAUAGAAUACUUUCCAGGUUUAAUUUCAAUCAGAAAAGAAAAUUAGCAUUUUCUGAUGCUACCUUGACAUGCAAACAAGUUUUUGUCAUGUAGGAGGAGGAGGGGGGGGAGGGUUAGGUUAAACUACAACACAAUUUAUCUAUAAGUUUUUCAGCGUCCUAUUUCAUGUGUGGUACACUUUCUUUAAUUUGGCUUGCUGACCUGGCAGUCGCAUAGUCUUGGGCCAGGGAUGACUGGAUGGGAGAAGACAAUGAGGGAUACUGUUCAUUGUUUAAUAUGCGCUUGUGUACUAUAAUAUGUAAAAAUAAAGAAACGAGUGAUAUUUUUAUGCUUCAAGCAUUUUGCAGAGCGAAGUAAAGUUAUAACGAAUUUUCUUUUUCUCUCUAAGAGAUGAGAGAAGAUGGUGUUGCUUGCUCAUGAUGUUGCUGGCAUACCCUAGUACCUAGCUCAUAACUUUUUAGUGCAGUGAAGAUCACCAGGUAGAAACCACAUCAAUUUGUAAGAGUUAUGAAUCUUCAGCAUGAAAGUAAAUUAGUGUUUUAUUUUAUUGGAUACGUUCCCCUUUUAGAAAGUUCUGUGAACAAGAUGAAAAUUUGCAAAAGGAACAAAUAAGAAUUUGGAACAAGCAUGCUAUCAACACAACUAAUGCAGAAGCAGAAUUUAGUCACACUACAUACCAAUAAGGACAGUGUAGGUGUGAGAACGUUGCUGAUACUUUCCUUUUCCACCUAUGACAAAGCAAAAAGUAUACUUCAGUAAUUCAGAUGAGAACACAAUUCUUGUUACACCAGGUGUGGCGAGCCCGGGAGACAGCAAGAGCCACAGUAGUCCUGGACUAAGGGCGCCUCCCACACAAGCAGAAAGACACCCGCUUUUCCUUUCUUUUUUUAAUAAAUGUUUUUCCUUCUCCUU
rnacentral:lncRNA from 1 species